rnacentral:rRNA from 1 species
UCUUACGGUACCGUCAAAGGGGCACACGUGCCCCCGUUUCUUCCCGUACAAAAGCGGUUUACGACCCGUAGGGCCUUCUUCCCGCACGCGGCAUGGCUAGAUCAGGCUCCCGCCCAUUGUCCAAUAUUCCUCA